GACAUAGGUGGCGAACGUUAUCCGGAAUUAUUGGGCGUAAAGGGUGCGUAGAUGGUUUGAUAAGUUAACAGUGGUAAAUCAAGGCUCAACCUUGUAGAAGUUGGUAAUACUAUCAGACUAGAGUGCAGGAGAGGUUAACGGAACUCCAUGUGUAGCGGUAAAAUGCGUCGAUAUAUGGAAGAACACCAAUAACGGCGAAGGCAGUUAACUAUUCUGCUACUGACAUUGAGGCACGAAAGCGUGGGGAGCAAAACGG
rnacentral:rRNA from 1 species